AAUAAUGAUGGCAGCUCUUAAGUUUUUAGAAACUUAUUCAUCAAGAUUAGAAUCAAUGAAAAUUGAUACGAUAUGUUUUAAAUUCCUCAUAGAAUAGGAAAAGACUUGAAAUCAUUAAAAGAGCUUAUGCUUAUAUUGUGAAAAAUCUAAACAUACUCCUCAACAUUGUCAACAAAAAUAAUGCAACUACUAGGAUGUUGGCCCUUCUCCUACUCUAAUCUGCAUGUUGAACUUUCAAUAUUAAUAUCUUUUUUUUGAACUAUUAAAAUUCUUCCAAAAUUAAUUUAAAUU
rnacentral:lncRNA from 1 species